UUCGCAACGAAACUUUGGAAUAUUACUAAUUUUGUGAUGCUCUUUCAAGCUGCGAUGAAAUUUUUGUCUAGAUCAAAAUUUAGUGUAUUACGCAAGUGGUCAAUUGAUGCACAUAUAUCAAUUGAAGAUCAUAUUCCCCUCUCUUCUUGAAAUUCACCAUAUACUUGCUGAGAACUUUUAGUUUGGUAAAGUCAUUUUGAUUUCAUAGCAAUAGGUUAAUUUACAAUUACAAUGAUUGUAUACUAAUUGGGUAUACUGUGAAUGGGUAUAUUUAUUUUUUAUUAUUUUUAUUCGUGUAAAUGGUAUGAUAUAUAGUUAGUGCAUUGUCUGUUGAACCUAUACUGAUGUUUACAUCGACUAAAUUAGUAUAUUUCCAGCAUAGAUAUCUUACAUGUAUAUACACUAGAUAGUAGAUAGCGCAUCUCUUUAAGUAAAAUUGAAGCCAAGAAUAUUCCAGCGGUUACCCCCAUUUGAAUAGAUGGCGGCCAUGUUGGAGUUUCCCACUCGCUAAUAAACGCUUAAAAAACAACAAUAACGUUCAUCAUUUGAACAGUUUGAAAAUGUAUUUGGAAUAGGUUUAACUUAAUGUUUAAGUUCCCUGUUUAAGAAAUAGAAAACAUACAGUAUGAGUCUUCUCAUUUCUUGGGAAUAUCCUGAGUCUGCAAUCACGGCUUCAAUUUUUGAAUUGCAUAAUAAUUAGAUGCACUAUCUAGUGUAUAUAAGAUAUCUAUGAUUUCCAGCCCAUAGUGAAAUUUGCGACAGCUGCACCAAAUUGGAACCCAAAUGACUCGAAUUCGUUUAUACGGUCUUUAAGCUUACUUGUUAUAUCAUUAUUUAAUUACACAUUAGAAGAAAAAAAAGCUAUAUGGUAUAUAUAAUAUUAUAUCAUGCUGACAUUUGCCACGCUCUUCAUCGACUACAACCAUUAAACAUGCUACUAGCUUAUGACUACCAGAAACCUAUAUAGACACAGUAAAUCAGUGUGAAUGUUAAUAUAGUUCCAAUAAUGAAAGUGUGCUGGAAUGUUCCGUGUU